AUUGAACGCUGGCGGCAUGCCUUACACAUGCAAGUCGAACAGCAGCACGGGAGCAAUCCUGGUGGCGAGUGGCGAACGGGUGAGUAAUAUAUCGGAACGUGCCCAGUCGUGGGGGAUAACGCAGCGAAAGCUGUGCUAAUACCGCAUACGAUCUAAGGAUGAAAGCGGGGGAUCGCAAGACCUCGCGCGAUUGGAGCGGCCGAGAUCAGAUUAGCUAGUUGGUGGGGUAAAGGGCCACCAAGGCGACGAGCUGUAGCUGGUCUGAGAGGACGACCAGCCUCACUGAAACGGAGACACGGUCCAGACUCCUACGGGAGGCAGCAGUGGGGAAUUGUGGACAGUGGGCGCAAGCCUGAUCCAGCAAUGCCGCGUGCAGGAUGAAGGCCUUCGGGUUGUAAACUGCUUUUGUACGGAACGAAACGGCCCUUUCUAAUACAGGGGGCUAAUGACGGUACCGUAAGAAUAAGCACCGGCUAACUACGUGCCAGCAGCCGCCGUAA
rnacentral:rRNA from 1 species